UGGGACAAUCAGAGAGCUGAGCUCCCGCCUCAUUACCGGACACCUUGUGGACAAGCAGACAAGGCGCUCACAUGCGGGGCUAAAAUGCAUCAGAAUAACCGGACGAGGCUCACGAGUCUGGUGCGGGUUGUGGUCUAACAGUAGUCUGGCAGAAGAGGAGCCAUGAGGAAACACCUGAGUCCCACAAAACAACAGCAGCAGCAGCAGCAGCAACCACCGGCUGAUGUCCCGGCUCCAGGCGGCGAGGUUACCGUCCAACAGCUCAACGAGCUCCUGUCCAACGGCAGCGGCUUCUACAGCCUCCCGACACAACACUUCAACGAGGUCUUCCCCCGAAUAUACGUCGGCAACGCGUUCGUAGCCCAGAAUGCAAUGCGUCUGCAGAAACUUGGAGUGACGCACGUCCUCAACGUGGCGGAGGGCACCUCGUUCAUGCACGUCAACACCAGUGCGGACUUCUAUGCCGGCACGGGCAUCACAUACCACGGUAUCCAGGCCAAUGACACGGAGCAGUUCAACCUGAGUGCCUUCUUUGAGGAGGGGGCUGACUUUAUCGACAAGGCCCUGGCACACAACAAUGGCAAAGGGAAGGUGUACGUACACUGCAGAGAAGGCUACAGCCGCUCCCCGACCAUGGUUGUUGCUUACCUCAUGCUGCGCCAUAAAAUGGAUGCCCGGCUGGCGGUGGCCACCGUGAGGCACAAGAGAGAAAUCGGCCCCAAUGACGGCUUCCUUCGCCAGCUGUGCCAACUUAACGAGAAGCUGGCAAAGGAGGGCAAGCUGAACGGGGAGGCGGGCAAACUAAAGACCAAAUGAAAGCAGGAGAGGCCCUCUGCGCCGUCUCCUCCCAUCAUGCCUUUCACAGGCUUCAGCUGCUGUCAGAGACUGACCCCCACCCGACCAAACCAGCACCCACACGUCUGACACACCAGGGCUGACUUUACCAGCUUCAAGCUAGCAGCCUUUGGUUUUAGCUGUCAAAUGCAUCAACAGAGGAGGAUGCCACCCGCUUUGAACAGAACGUUCCAGUCAUCUCUGCUGCCAACUCCCUGACACAGCCGUUCGGCCAGUAUCCAGUUCCACUGUUUCAUCAACACAGUUUGUCAGAGGUCCAUACACAACACGUGUCACUCCUAAGUGUGUGUGUGUGUGUGUCACGCCGUAGUGACUUAAUGCACACACAGGGUCAAAUCACAAAGCCUUUUUCUUUGGUUGUAUGUACUAAAGCAUUGCAAUAUAUGUCAAUACCCCAUCAGAUAUAUAGAAUGUAAUCACAUCGAAAUAUGACUAUCCAGGCUGUAGUUGUUUUAUAUACGUAGUCUGACUAUACGUUUUGAAGGAUGCUAUUUAUUACUGGGCAUACUACUGGAGACUAGACCCAGUGCCAGGAAGGACAGGGAUGGAGUUUCUUUAAAACCUGCAGCACGUCGCUCCCCAAGUUGCCUCCGAGGCAAAAUCCCAUGAAAAGUCUGAGAAGUGAGUGAGACGUUAAGGCAAAAACCGUUGAGCUGGAUGACCACCGGCCUCUCUUCGGUUUGUGUCGGUAGUCCAGCCUCUUGUGUGGUUCUCCUGAACAAAUGGCCCUGGGGCGGGGGGCCGUUAGCAUGAAUCCAGGGGGAGUUGAAACUAGGUUGUCUCACCUCAUUAAUGGCACUAUUUAUUCCUCCUUUGAUAUAUCUGUAUACAUAUGAAUAUAUACAUGUAUACUAUAUAUACAUAUUUAAGUGUUGACAUAUAUGAAUGUAUGAGCAAUGUGUCUAUAACGUGUAGGUGUCGUCGGUAUGUCUUUAUAUAUCACAUUGUAUUUGUAUAUGCUCCUCCAUUCUAUCUGUUCCACGGCUGAUUACAUGUACACAACAAUAUUCAGAUCCAGUGUACAUGUAAAACGUGGGGUGUGAUUGUGAUACUCUUUUAUCACAAUUGUGCAAAAGUCGCUUGCAGUCGCAGGGUUUUGUUUUUCCAAGCUUAGCUGGGAUAGCGGGGCAUGUGAUCAUUGUCUUUUGUACAGUUUUAAGUUUCCACGAAGAUGCUAACUUACUCACAUAAAGCAAGAUGCAGGUGGCAGCGUCGGAUGGAUACAGAUUAUUGUCCUGCAAUUCACGACAUCAUGUCAAACUCACCCCAUCACGCGCUCAUUCGGUGCUUCAGAACAUUUACGCCUCAACAGCAGGUUUUCUGUUAAGAUCUGGUUUUCCUUUGGCUGAGAAUGAAGAGAUUCCCCAGCUUUACUCUCCAUUUCAGUGCAAUGUUUUUAGCUGCGGUAGAGCUACAGGAAAGAGAAGUUGUGGCAGCAGUAAUGGAGACCGGCACUAAAUUGAUUUUAUAAGUGUUCUUUUAUUUAUUUCUGUUUCUAAACUAUAUCUCUGAUCUAGGCAUAACGUCAAACCUUUUAGACGAGUGACCUAGAAUCAACGUGCCAAUUUUCUUUAUUAGUUUAAAAGUGAGUAAAUGUUAUGUUCAUGUGCUCUCUCAUAUUGAAAAUCUUUUGAGUUUUGGACUGUUAGUUGAACCCCAAAACUGAUUUUAAUCUUAAUUUCUUAAUUUGUCUUGUAGGUAAGAGAUUAGUCAAGGAAAUCACCAAUUAACAGUGAAAAUAAUUAUGACGUGACUUGCUUCCCUGCAUUGUACGAUGAAUUCUCUCUGGCUUUACGUAAGUUGGAAGCAGCCCAGCCAAAUGAGUGGGGAAAAACGUCUGCAGACUCAAAUUUACAUAAAUCCGUCCAGAAGAGACAUUUUUAGGCUGCGUGUUUAUACGGCGGUCUGUUCUCAUAAAAUCCAAUCUUCAAAUAAAAUCUCGAGACAUGCAUUGAAAUGUGAAGUGCUGCUGUAGCCUUUGGCCAGGAGGACGUAUCAGAGGAGAGAAUAUCAUCACAGGGAGGUAGAAACGAGGCCAGACUGUCUCAAACUUUGCCGAGUGAGAACACGAGUGCAGUUGUGGCGUCUCUCCUGGGGGGCUUCGGGGCUCCCAGCGUUCGUACGCUGGAUGUUCCUGUCCGCUCUCAGCCCUGUCAUCUUGUCGUCUCAUACACUUGAAGAUGUCUCAGAUUUGUGAAGCAGCGCGCUUGAUUUCACACAUUCCUUUGGCAACAUAAAUCGGGUGCAGUAGUUCAAAUCUGAGACCGUUUCCCAGUGCAGUUUAGAGCAUGUGCCACUGGACUUUUUCCCACCACCUCAUCAUGAACCCCAAACCAAACAACACUGACGUUUAUACUGAAGUCUACAAGCAGAGAGAACCACUCACCUCUGUGCCCAAACGUAUAACACGCCAAGCCUGUCUGUGCCAAGUCUUGAAACACUGUUUUGUACAUGUGUUUAAUGUUUAAGGUUGGCUCUUUUGUCUUUCAGAGAAACUGGGGGGGUUCACUUGUACAAAUACAACCACUAACUCUCCGCACUUCAGUGUUCCUUUUGAGCUUUACAUGCAGUUUAUUUUUAAAUUUGGGAAUUACUGGUCUAAAAUUGUUCGAAUCGGUCCAGGAUGAGGGUUUUUACUUUAUAGCAUCAACUGCCUACACCAACCUGCUUACUGAUUGAGAUCAUUGACAUGUUUUACGCAGUCUGUGGUAGCCGAAGUAGCCAUGGUAGAAGUUUUCUGUCACAUUUUUUAGCCACUAAUUACAUGAUAAAAAUUGUACAGCGCUUCCUUUUUGGGUGAAGCAGAGAUGCAACAAAAAGAAAGCUUCUAUGAUGUCUACACUGCCGGUUUCACACUCCUUUAUGCAUCGAGUAACAGAUAAACACUGCCACCUGCUGUUCAACAGAUCUAUUGCAAAAAAUGCUAAUAUUCAUGAUGUUUAGGGUUGGGUUGGUUUCCGGUUUUGCCGUUCGGUCCGGUCUGGUGUACAGUCUUAUAUCAGUUCAGUUCCAAGGAAACUGACUGAACCGACAUUUGUCUACAGGUGGAGCUAAGAGAGCUAAGAUAGCAGCAUGUGGCUAGUUAGCAGGAGGACAGCAGGUCACGCUACGUUGCUUUAAUACAAAGCCUCGUUUUGAGCCUGUUAAUGUUACUGCAAGUUUCAAAUUAAAAGCCCUCCGAGGUUUCACUGGACAGAAAUCCCUUCAUCCUCUUUCAACAAGGCUUUUAUUGUGAAACAUUUGUGGGAACAUGUUUCCAAGGUUCCCUUGUUGCACUUGAACUGUAGCAGCUGCUAUCUUUUCUUGCCGGACUGAAGUCUUAUUUUAUUUAUUAUUUGUUGAUGGCAAACCUUAAGAAGAAAGAAUAAACUGGGUGGUUGUGAGAAAUAGCAGCACCAUGUGUCACAGCUGUCCUGAUGGAUUGUGGUGCCGCUACACUCGUGUGCAGGACGGCUGCUGCCUCAAGUGCGACACCUAGUGGUAAAACCCGGUCCGGCUUUAAACCGGUCCAACCCUAAUAAUGUUUGUUACUCAUGAUAUCAUAAAUAUUUCAAAUCCAACCACAAAACCAUUUUUUUCUUCCUCAUUGUGAAACCCUGUAAUUUCUUUUGUUUAAUGAAGUACCAGCAUCAUUCUGUGGGUUAUACUCCAGGUAUAUACUAUGUUAAUGAGAAUGUCAAAUGUGAAAUGCCAUUAAUGUAUAUCGUUAUAUAUUCUGAGUAUGUAACACGCACUAAGGCAAUUGUGAAUUGCUGAAUUUUGCUAUCUUAACUGGCCUAAUAUAUAGAUAGGACAUUGUCUGAUAUUGAGUGAGUUGAAACUGCAGAUGAAACAUUCUGAUUUCUUUUCUCCUCAAAGUAAAGUGAGUUAAUUUUUUUAAUUUGAAUUUGUCCUGUUACAAGGAUGUGAUUUGAUUUUGUGUUUGGAUCUUUGCUUUGCUAGUAAAGAAGGCAAUUUUUUGUAAAGUAGGAAAGACGAAAAAGUUAAUGAAAGUGAGAUUGUAACCUGCUUCUCCAACUUGGCCAUUAAGCUGACCACAGUUUGUCAUUAUCCAUGUUGUUUUUGGAUCUUAUGGGAGUCGGUCUGGGAACAGAAGGUGAUUGUUACUGAUCCCCAGUGCUUGUUGCCUUACCAGAGUGGAGGAUUGUAAAAUCAUUCGCAGGGAGCCUGGUAGUGUUCUAUCACAGAAAAAUACUUCAAAUUGACUUUUGUUCCAAUUUGCUGUCCCGUGUGGCAUAUCUCAGCCAUCUGCGCUGAAACAGUGAAAAACCUGAGAAGUUUAAACCCUCUGUGACUGACAGUUGAUAUCCUCCAUCAUGGAAACUCCUCUGGCUGAACUUUUGUCCAUGAUGCAGUAAACUCCAUCUGGUACUCUUGAGAGCAUUCAAACAAACACUGGGAAUUACUUACAAAUCCUGCUUGGCCCAGGUGAUGUGCCGACACCAGAGCUCCCGUCUUCUUCUUCUUGCUCCCAUUACAGCAGGAGUUUUAGCACAAAUGAGCCCACUGCCUGACUCCUCCUGGAGUCCAUUCCAUUGUCGACGUCUUGUCUCACGGUUUCGUUUCUGUUAAUGUGCAGAUGUCGCAAAAGGACCUCGUUGUGGCGUUGGAUUGUCUGUUAAUGGGUAUGUUCUCAUAUGUGUUCGUCGCCGCCACUGACAUCUCAGAAGUAACGACACAGCAGCCCACCCGAAGCCUUACAGUAAAGAUUGAUUCCUUAGAGUGUUUUUGAGUUUGAGUGUCUCACUUCACACAGUAGGAAGGGAUGGUUCCCUUACAGAACGAGGCAACGUUGAAGUGCACUUGAUUUUAAACUGCAAUGUUAUUUUUCUUACCUUGGAGAAGUCCCUUUUUUCUUAUGUUUAAGAAAUAAAUGGCUGAGGUAUUAACAAA